rnacentral:misc_RNA from 1 species
UCCGAGUUGACCCCGGCAGUCUCCUAUGAGUCCCCACCAUCCCGAAGGACGUGCUGGCAACAUAGAACGAGGGUUGCGCUCGUUGCGGGACUUAACCCAACAUCUCACGACACGAGCUGACGACAGCCAUGCACCACCUGUACACCGACAAUAAAGGGGCCCCAUCUCUGGACGUUUCCGGUGUAUGUCAAGCCUUGGUAAGGUUCUUCGCGUUGCGUCGAAUUAAGCCACAUGCUCCGCCGCUUGUGCGGGUCCCCGUCAAUUCCUUUGAGUUUUAGCCUUGCGGCCGUACUCCCCAGGCGGGGUGCUUAAUGCGUUUGCGACGGCACGGAAGGGGUUGAUGCCUCCCACACCUAGCACCCAACGUUUACGGCUGGGACUAC